GCCAGAGAUUCCUAUCGGGAGAGGGAAGACUUUACUUUUGAAGAGGAAAAGUACUUAACUCCUAGAGGAAAGCGUCAUUCCUGAGGUUUACCCUCAUGGUCUGGAGACAAACACGUGGGACUUUUCUUUUUUGUGUGUGUUUCUAAUAGUGGAAGAAAAGGAAAGCCAGGCUAAGCAGAGAAAAGUGGAAGAGGAGACACAGCAGCUCAUUCUUUCCCAGUAGCCGUUAGACUGAUUGCGGAGGGGAAGGUCAAAAGAGAAGUUCACAACUAUGAUACCAGCUCUAGAGGCGAAAGAACAACUGAGAGAGAACUAUCCAAGAAGUGUUUGGAUCCCGAAGCACAAAGGUAGACUUACAAAGGAUGAAAUUGAUCUCUACUACUAAGUGGAUCCAUCUUCAAGAGAGGGCGUUCAGAACACCCGGAAAGAUAAGAAAGGAUUCAGCACAGGCACGUGCCUAUCUCAGCACCUUCACAGCAGAGAGCGAAUCUCUGCAUCCAGUUACCCCAGAGACACAUCUGGACACCUCCCCGCAACAAAGCCCCCAAGACCUUCCAGAAGAGGAGCUGUGUCCAAGAGCCCCCUUCCUGUUAUGGGAAGUGCACUAUCUUCUGACCCUCAUAUCUGUUGCCUCUAUUUGUUGCUCUCUCAUAAACCAAUCCAAAUGGAGGGCAUCUGUAUUGCCAAAGGGAUUGGUCACUCAGCUUCGUCGGAUGCAAGAAAAGAUUCUGAGGGUAGGGACGGGCAUCGGUCUUGCUGACUGCCCUCUCUGCAGCUGUCAGGACUGGGCUUAGCAUGUAGUAGGUGGCCCAUAAAUAUUUGUUGAAUGAACACAUAUCGUCGGGAAAAAGGAGGUUGUUGUAAGGACACGCAGAAGAACCAGAACUGGAACUGGAAGUCAGAGCGGAAGUGGCCCCAGGGACCAAACAUGUUAGGACUUCCUCACCUCCUUGGGACAUGGUUAUGAAGAUGAGAGUAAAUGACACGUCACUUCCGGACAGAAUCUUUCAGAGUCAACUUGCAAUUCACGAUGUCCCUGUCUCUGCCUUAAUCAUAGUGGAAGCACCUGCUGAGAUGGAAGUUUCCUCAGCCUGGUCUCUGAGGGUCUAUGAUGAGCAGUCUUCCCUAGUAUCCGCUUUGGAGAAAUAGAUCUUAACUGAAUUAAGAUACUGAGGUUUGGCAUUAUUUAUUUAUGUAUCUAUUUAUUUACUUGUAACAUCUUUGUUAGAUUUUGGUAUCUGGUUAUUGCUAGCCUCCUCAAACAAACUGAGAAGAGUUCUUUCCUGCUCUAUUUUCUGAAAGAAUUUGCUUAAGAUUUGUGUAACUUCUUUCUCAAAUGUUUGAUAGAAUUCACCAGGGAAACUAUCUGGGCUAGGAGCUUCCUUCCUCUUUCUUUCUUCUUUGUCUCUCUUUCUGUCUUUUCUUUCUUUUCAAAAGCUCUACUUAUAUAGCAUUGACAUUUAAAAAUUGUACAUAUUUAAGCUGUACAACUUGAUUUAACUCUAAACAAUAGUUUUAUUUAAAUAAUAUUUUUUAUUAUACUUUAAG
rnacentral:lncRNA from 1 species